CAUAGGUUAAUGAGGCGAACCGGGGGAACUGAAACAUCUAAGUACCCCGAGGAAAAGAAAUCAACCGAGAUUCCCCCAGUAGCGGCGAGCGAACGGGGAGGAGCCCAGAGCCUGAAUCAGUGUGUGUGUUAGUGGAAGCGUCUGGAAAGGCGCGCGAUACAGGGUGACAGCCCCGUACACAAAAAUGCACAUACUGUGAGCUCGAUGAGUAGGGCGGGACACGUGGUAUCCUGUCUGAAUAUGGGGGGACCAUCCUCCAAGGCUAAAUACUCCUGACUGACCGAUAGUGAACCAGUACCGUGAGGGAAAGGCGAAAAGAACCCCGGCGAGGGGAGUGAAAAAGAACCUGAAACCGUGUACGUACAAGCAGUGGGAGCCUCUUAAUGGGGUGACUGCGUACCUUUUGUAUAAUGGGUCAGCGACUUAUAUUCUGUAGCAAGGUUAACCGAAUAGGGGAGCCGAAGGGAAACCGAGUCUUAACUGGGCGUUAAGUUGCAGGGUAUAGACCCGAAACCCGGUGAUCUAGCUAUGGGCAGGUUGAAGGUUGGGUAACACUAACUGGAGGACCGAACCGACUAAUGUUGAAAAAUUAGCGGAUGACUUGUGGCUGGGGGUGAAAGGCCAAUCAAACCGGGAGAUAGCUGGUUCUCCCCGAAAGCUAUUUAGGUAGCGCCUCGUGAAUUCAUCUCCGGGGGUAGAGCACUGUUUCGGCAAGGGGGUCAUCCCGACUUACCAACCCGAUGCAAACUGCGAAUACCGGAGAAUGUUAUCACGGGAGACACACGGCGGGUGCUAACGUCCGUCGUGAAGAGGGAAACAACCCAGACCGCCAGCUAAGGUCCCAAAGUCAUGGUUAAGUGGGAAACGAUGUGGGAAGGCCCAGACAGCCAGGAUGUUGGCUUAGAAGCAGCCAUCAUUUAAAGAAAGCGUAAUAGCUCACUGGUCGAGUCGGCCUGCGCGGAAGAUGUAACGGGGCUAAACCAUGCACCGAAGCUGCGGCAGCGACGCUUAUGCGUUGUUGGGUAGGGGAGCGUUCUGUAAGCCUGUGAAGGUGGCCUGUGAGGGUUGCUGGAGGUAUCAGAAGUGCGAAUGCUGACAUAAGUAACGAUAAAGCGGGUGAAAAGCCCGCUCGCCGGAAGACCAAGGGUUCCUGUCCAACGUUAAUCGGGGCAGGGUGAGUCGACCCCUAAGGCGAGGCCGAAAGGCGUAGUCGAUGGGAAACAGGUUAAUAUUCCUGUACUUGGUGUUACUGCGAAGGGGGGACGGAGAAGGCUAUGUUGGCCGGGCGACGGUUGUCCCGGUUUAAGCGUGUAGGCUGGUUUUCCAGGCAAAUCCGGAAAAUCAAGGCUGAGGCGUGAUGACGAGGCACUACGGUGCUGAAGCGACAAAUGCCCUGCUUCCAGGAAAAGCCUCUAAGCAUCAGGUAACAUUAAAUCGUACCCCAAACCGACACAGGUGGUCAGGUAGAGAAUACCAAGGCGCUUGAGAGAACUCGGGUGAAGGAACUAGGCAAAAUGGUGCCGUAACUUCGGGAGAAGGCACGCUGAUAUGUAGGUGAAGCGACUUGCUCGUGGAGCUGAAAUCAGUCGAAGAUACCAGCUGGCUGCAACUGUUUAUUAAAAACACAGCACUGUGCAAACACGAAAGUGGACGUAUACGGUGUGACGCCUGCCCGGUGCCGGAAGGUUAAUUGAUGGGGUUAGCGGUAACGCGAAGCUCUUGAUCGAAGCCCCGGUAAACGGCGGCCGUAACUAUAACGGUCCUAAGGUAGCGAAAUUCCUUGUCGGGUAAGUUCCGACCUGCACGAAUGGCGUAAUGAUGGCCAGGCUGUCUCCACCCGAGACUCAGUGAAAUUGAACUCGCUGUGAAGAUGCAGUGUACCCGCGGCAAGACGGAAAGACCCCGUGAACCUUUACUAUAGCUUGACACUGAACAUUGAGCCUUGAUGUGUAGGAUAGGUGGGAGGCUUUGAAGUGUGGACGCCAGUCUGCAUGGAGCCGACCUUGAAAUACCACCCUUUAAUGUUUGAUGUUCUAACGUGGGCCCCUUACCGGGGUUGCGGACAGUGUCUGGUGGGUAGUUUGACUGGGGCGGUCUCCUCCUAAAGAGUAACGGAGGAGCACGAAGGUUGGCUAAUCCUGGUCGGACAUCAGGAGGUUAGUGCAAUGGCAUAAGCCAGCUUGACUGCGAGCGUGACGGCGCGAGCAGGUGCGAAAGCAGGUCAUAGUGAUCCGGUGGUUCUGAAUGGAAGGGCCAUCGCUCAACGGAUAAAAGGUACUCCGGGGAUAACAGGCUGAUACCGCCCAAGAGUUCAUAUCGACGGCGGUGUUUGGCACCUCGAUGUCGGCUCAUCACAUCCUGGGGCUGAAGUAGGUCCCAAGGGUAUGGCUGUUCGCCAUUUAAAGUGGUACGCGAGCUGGGUUUAGAACGUCGUGAGACAGUUCGGUCCCUAUCUGCCGUGGGCGCUGGAGAACUGAGGGGGGCUGCUCCUAGUACGAGAGGACCGGAGUGGACGCAUCACUGGUGUUCGGGUUGUCAUGCCAAUGGCACUGCCCGGUAGCUAAAUGCGGAAGAGAUAAGUGCUGAAAGCAUCUAAGCACGAAACUUGCCCCGAGAUGAGUUCUCCCUGACUCCUUGAGAGUCCUGAAGGAACGUUGAAGACGACGACGUUGAUAGGCCGGGUGUGUAAGCGCAGCGAUGCGUUGAGCUAACCGGUACUAAUGAACCGUGAG
rnacentral:rRNA from 1 species